GACGAACGCUGGCGGCGUGCCUAACACAUGCAAGUCGAACGGAAAGGCCCUGCUUUUGUGGGGUUCCCGAGUGGGGAACGGGUGAGUAACACGAGAGUAACCUGCCCUUGUCUUUGGGAUAACUUCACGAAACUGGGGCUAAUAUCGGAUAGGAGCUCCUGCUGCAUGGUGGGCGUUGGAAAGUCUCGGCGUUUGGGGAUGGACUCGCGGCUUAUCAGCUUGUUGGUGGGGUAGUGGCUUACCAAGGGUUUGACGGGUAGCCGGCCUGAGAGGGGGGACGGCGUCAAUGGGACUGAGGGACGGCGCAGUCGGGUACGUGAGGCAGAGGUGGGAAGCAUUGCACAAUGAGCGGGAGCCUGAUGCGAAGGCGCCGCGUGCGUAAAGACCGCCUUCUGGUUAAGAACAGCUGUCGCCUGAGACGAAGCGUGAGUGACGGUAAUGAAUAAAUAAGCACCGGCUAACUACGUG
rnacentral:rRNA from 1 species